AAGUAUACAAAGAAAUUAUUAUGGAAUCAUAGCUAUAUAUUAAAUAGAGCCACUAAGAGCCAACCUAAAAAUAAUUCUAAUAAUAAAUUAUGUAUCUAAAAAACGAAGUGAAUUGAAAUAUCUUAAUAACUUCAGGAAAAAAAAUCAAAAGAGAUUUCUUAAGUAAUGUGAAUGAAAAAAGUAAAAUGGAGUGCAUAUCUGUUUGAAUAAAAGGGGAACCUUCCUCUAAGACUAAAUAUAAUAUAUAAGCGAUAGCGAAUAGUACCGUAAGGGAAAUGAUUGAAAUAGUAAUUUUAUAAGCAGCUCAAAGAUGGUUUAAAUAAACAAUGAGAGCGUACCUUUUGCAUAAUGGGUCAGCAAGUUAAUAUUCGAUGCGAGCAAUAAUGCAAAGAUAAAACAAUUAUGAUAUAAUAAUGUAGUAUCGAAAUUAGACCCGAAACCUAGUGAUCUUACCAUGAUCAGGGUUAUAAAAGUCCGAACGGGUUAUCGUUGUAAAGAUAUCCGAAGAAUCGUGGUAAGUUAGUGAAAGACAAUUCUGACUAGGAUAGCUGGUUUUCUGCGAAACCUAUAUAAGUAGGUAAUUUAAAUAGAAUAUCAGAAGGUACAGAAUUGUGAUCUCAUGCAAUUUGUGGACAUUGGGGGGUCGUGAAGACUCUAUCAGUGAGUAUUUGUUCUCGGAAGGACUAGAUAUGUAUAUUGAAUAAUCGGACAUAGUACGAUAAGGUUGUAUGUCUAAAGGGAAAUAGCCCAGAACAAGAGUUAAUAAGGUUCCAAAAUUUUUGUUAAGUGAAAUUAAGGCAGUAUUUAUCCCAAUCGGCCAGGGAAUAGGCUUAGAAGCGGCCAUUUUUUGAAGACCUCGUAACAGAGCACUGGUUUUAUAUUUUAUGGAUAAAAGCACCGAAAAUUUAACGGAUCUAAACAAAAUACCGACACCUUGUCCAUAUAUAUUAAUGUGUAUAUUAUAUAUUGUAUAUAUGGGGUAGCGGAACAUUGGGCGUGAAACAGCCAUUUUUAAUCCUUUAUAAGGAUUAAAUUGCCUAGAGUUUUUUUAUUAAUCUCUAGACUAUAUAAGCCCAAGUGAUAAUGCUGACAUGAGUAACGAUAAAGGAUCAUUAAUACAUAAAAUAUUAGAGAAUCCUCGCCUAAAGCUUAUGGAAUUUAUUAAAGUUACGGCCUCUAAGUUUAUACCGUACCUAAAUACUAACACAAGUGAGCAAGUAGAGAAUACGAAGGCGUUCGAGCUAACAAUCAUUAAGGAACUCGGCAAAUUGACUCUCGUAACUUCGGGAUAAGGUGGGCCAUUUCUUCUGAUUAAUAUCAGGUAAGAAAGAGGAGGCAUAGAAUGGUGUUGUACGACUGUUUAAUUAAAACAAAGCACGCUGCGAAGAAAUAAAUUCGAUGUAUUGAGUGUGAUCUCUGCCCGAUGGCGGCUGGUUAACUAAUUUGCUUAGUUAAAUAAAAUAAACUAGGCUUUGAUGGAAACCCCGUUCAAUGGCGGCCUUACCUAUAAGGGUCCUAAGGUAGCGUAAUACCUUGGCCGUUAAAUGCGGUCUUGCAUGAAUGAUGUAACGAUACAACAGCUGUCUCUAUGAUUGGCUCGGUGAAAUUGGAAUAACUGUGCAGAUACAGUUUACCUCUAGUUGGACGAGAAGACCCUAUGCAGCUUUACUGUUGCUAGUUACCGAGUAUGAUAUAAUGAGUUGUAGCGUAUAAGGUAAUUAAUAUAAAAUUGAAACACCUUUACUUCAUUUAUCAUAUUAUAUAAACCUUACAAGCAAAUUGCCAGUAAAAUCAAUAAAUAUGAUUACUGGUUGUAAUAAAUGAUAGGAACAAUUGCUAGGUGGCAGUUUAUGCGGGGCACAGAUCCCAUAAAGAGUACCUGGGAGUAUCCAAAGACAAUUUUUAGGUUGCAAUUUGCAAUUUAAUAUGAACUUUUAUUAGUAUAGAUUCAUAUUUUUAGUUUGCAAUAUGUGUUAUAUUAUAAUAUAACGCUAAUUUAAUUAUAAAUCCAUUUAAGUUGGAACUUUUUUUAAUUAGGUAAGAUUUUAACUAUAUUUAAAUAUAGAUGUAAUUAAAUGAUAGUUAUUUUACUUAUCAAGUUUAACGGCUUAAUCUUGCUUUACUGUUUGACUUACAUGUCUUUCAGUUGCGUAAGCGGGGCAUAUGAUCACAAGAUGCAGAAAGGAAAGGUCUUGGAUUAUUGAAAAAGUUACGCUAGGGAUAACAGGCUAAUCGCGCCAGAGAGUUCAAAUUGAGUGCGGGGUUUGGCACCUCGAUGUCGGCUUAGCUCAUCCACAUGAAUGUAGGAGUCAUGAAGGGUCCGACUGUUCGUCGAUUAAAGAGCUACACGAGCUGGGUUAAAUACGUUGUGAGACAGUAUGGUUUCUAUCCUCUAGAGGAAGUUGGAAUAAAUUAGGGAUAGCCCCUUGUACGAGAGGAGUUGGGUAUAUUAACCUAUGGUUUACCUGUUGUUUGUUUUGCCAUAUUA
rnacentral:rRNA from 1 species